rnacentral:lncRNA from 1 species
GUCCUUCGACACCCGCCGUCCAGUUUGAGCGGGAGUAUCACGCAAUCAACUCAUGGUUGUUAGGCCCUUCCUCCAUUACAGGAAUCGUCCUUCCAUAUUCAUAUACGUGUUAAUAUUGAUUUACCUUCCUUGUAUUGUUGAUUCAGUUUCCUUGCACAUCUUUACUAGGGCUUUUAACUGUGUAUAUCUCUCAUGUAUCACACUUAUCAAAUAAAUCCAAAAUACAAGGUUUACAUGAUGCAUUCAAAUUUGUGUCUCCAAUGCACACCCAUCAUUUUACUACAUGUAAAUAAGCAUCAAAUAUCAAUUGCC